AAAACCUCAAACACAAGACCCAAAAUAUCAUUAAAAAAAACUGAAAUGAUGGGAAGGGAACACCGCAGACAGGAUGAGGCUGGGUCCCAGAGCAGUGCCCAGGCAGGGGAGCCCAGCAGGACUCAGCGGUGGCUGAAGAACCCCUGAGGGUAGUUGAACUUGAACGGCUUCAAGCGCAUGGGGCCCCUGACCAGACGGAGGCACAUCUUCUCCUGGGGGAACUCUUUGGGUCCCUCCACAGUGGUGUCGUGGGGCUCUGUCUCCAGGUAGACGUCUAGCACCAUGCAGAGGCGCUGCAGCUGGUUGGUGAGGAGCUGGUAGCCCGGUUUGGGCCCCCACAGCUCCUUAUAGCACACGUUGACUUCACUCUCCAUAGCCCGAAUGUUGUCGUCAUUGCUGCCGGUUCGCUCUCCUUUCCAGUUCAGGCAGAGGCUGAAGAUGGGUGGCAGUGCGGAGUAACCGGGAUUCAGGACCACAGCAGCCUGGAGCUUGGCUGUUCCCCUCUCUAUCAG
rnacentral:lncRNA from 1 species